GACGAACGCUGGCGGCGUGCUUAACACAUGCAAGUCGAGCGAUGAAGUUCCUUCGGGAAUGGAUUAGCGGCGGACGGGUGAGUAACACGUGGGUAACCUGCCUCAUAGAGGGGAAUAGCCUUCCGAAAGGAAGAUUAAUACCGCAUAAGAUUGUAGUGCCGCAUGGUAUAGCAAUUAAAGGAGCAAUCCGCUAUGAGAUGGACCCGCGUCGCAUUAGCUAGUUGGUGAGGUAACGGCUCACCAAGGCGACGAUGCGUAGCCGACCUGAGAGGGUGAUCGGCCACAUUGGGACUGAGACACGGCCCAGACUCCUACGGGUGGCAG
rnacentral:rRNA from 1 species